rnacentral:rRNA from 1 species
GACGAAGGGGGCUAGCGUUGUUCGGAAUUACUGGGCGUAAAGCGAGUGUAGGUGGUUGUCCAAGUUGGAUGUGAAAGCCUUGAGCUCAACUCAAGAAAUGCAUUCAGGACUGGAUGACUAGAGGACCGGAGAGGAUAGUGGAAUUCCCAGUGUAGUGGUGAAAUACGUAGAGAUUGGGAAGAACACCAGUGGCGAAGGCGGUUAUCUGGACGGUUUCUGACACUAAGACUCGAAAGCGUGGGGAGCAAACAGG